UGAGAUGCUGCUUGGCCUGCUGUGUUCAUCCAGCCUCACAUUGAAAUUGACAGGUAUGAUUUUGUGGUUAUCUUCAGAGAUGUAGCUCCAACAGGAUCAGGGCUGAGAACUGAAUAUCCAGGGAUACACUUAUUGAAUGGAAAUGCUGAUGGGCAGAGGGGGAGAGGUGUCUAAUUAGUAAGAAAGGAAAUAAAACCUUUAAGAAGAAGUGAAAUAGACUUGGAAGGCUUGGAAUCAGUGUGGGUAGAGUUGAGGAAAAAGGACCAUGGUGAGAAUUAUAUACAGGCCUCCUGGUAGUAGUCAGGAUGUGCGGGGUACGAAAAUAAAUCAGGAAUUUUACAAGGCAUGUAAGAAAUACACUAUCACAAUAAUCAUGGGGGACUUCAAUAUGCAAGUAGCCCAGGGAACUCAGAUUGGUAGUAGAUCCCAAAAAAAGGAAUUUGUGGAAUGUGUGCCAGAAUUUUUUUGGAGUAGCUUGUGGUGGAGCCAACAUUCUGGAUUUGGUGAUGUGAAAUUUGGCAGACUUGUUGAAGGAGCUUAAAGUAAAGGAAUCUCUUGGGGGUAGCGACCACAAAACAAUAGAAUUCAACCUUGCAGUUUGAGAGGUCGAAAUUUUGAAUCAUAUGUACCAGCAUUACAUUUGAGUAAAGGAUAUACAAAGACAUGACGAGCUGGCCAGAACUGAUUAGAAUGGGAGCCGAGUGGGGAGGUUGGCGGAGCAGCAAUGAAGGGAAUUCGUGGGGUAAUUUGGGAGACACAGCAAUAUUCAUCCCAAGUGUCACGGAGAGGGAAUUAAUCACAUGGAUGGAUGCAAAAUGGAGAACUACGGGUCCAAUGUGAUGAAGGUUUUGUGAACUGAUUGCAAUAGCUCCUUCCCAAUUGACCUGUGCUUGAAUGUACUCUGCCCAAGAUAUACCUGUUACAAAGACUUUGGAUGCUGUUCGUUUGACAUAAAAUAGGAAUAACUAUUUCUUACUAACAAAAUGAACUAGUCAAAAUUCUAGGAAAGGCAAUGAGAUAACCUCUUAAAGCCUCAAACUUAACUUAACCCGGACCCAAAACUCCCCUACUUUUCCCCGAGCCGGCACUUCAACCUGUUGGACAAGGCAAAAGAUUGGUAGCAGAGGUUAGAUUGUUACAUUAGACAGAGAGAGAGAAAGGAGCUGAGCUACGUGGCAGGAUUCAGAGCAUUUGAAUCUUAGGCUAGUGGUUCUGACCUCCGAAUGUGCUAAAGCCCUCUGACCAUCUCUACUGUUUGGUGAGGAAAGAGCUGAAGCCUUUGGAAGAGUUACUGAGUUGAGCUGGUUCCUUCAUCCGGGCAAUUUCCCAGUGGUACCUUACCAAUCAGACGCUCACCUUAUGGUUCCUCGCCCACAAUGGUCUUCCAGUUGACCUUUACUGCUGCUGAAUCAUGAGCCUUGUACAGAAUCCCAGUCUCUUUUCAUAAUUGUUUUAAAACAUUAAUGGAAGAAGCAAUUUAAGGAACCACAGAUAGGGUUAUCACACAAGGGAGAAGGACCAUACGAAGGGGUGGACAAAGCAACUGUGGUUCCGACAUGAGAUCAGGGUCAACUUUAAAGCAAAAUCAGAGAAUAUCGUGUGGUGACAAUUAGUGGGAAGCGUGUAAAAACCAGCAGAUGACUAAAAAAGCAGUAAGUGGGGAGAAGAUGAAAUGUGAAAGGAAGCUAGCGAGAUUACAUUAGAUUCCCUACAGUGUGGAAACAGGCCCUUCGGCCCAACAGGUCCACACCACCCUUUGGAGCAUCCCACCCAGACCCAUCCCCCUAUAACCCACACACCCCUGAACACCACGGGCAAUUUAGCAUGGCCAAUCCACCUAGCCUGCACACAUCUUUGGAUUGUGGGAGGAAACCGGAGCACCCGGAGGAAAUCCACACAGACACGGGGAGAAUGUGCAAACUCCACACAGAGAGUCGCCCAAGGGUUGAAUUGAACCCAGGUCCUUGGUGGUGUGAGGCUGCAGUGCUAACCACUGAGCCACCGUGCUGCCCCAAGAUUUCAAGGGAUUUUUUUUAAGAUGUAUAAAAGGUAACAAAAGGGCAAGAGUGGACAGUGACCCUAAAAAAUUAGUGUUGGGGAACCUUGAUCAAAUGGGCCAACAGGCUUGGGGGUAGCAGAUGGAGAUUGAGAUAAAUGUGUGCUAAGGCUAACCAGGGCAGGACCUACACAGAUAAUGGUAGGACCCUGGCGAGUAUUUCCAAAUAGAGAGACCUAGGGGUGCAGGUGCAUAGUUCUUUGAACGUGGAGUCGCAGAAAGACAGGGCAUUGAAGAAGGCGUUUGGCAUGCUUGCCUUCAUUGUUUGGAACUUUGGGUAAUGGAGUUGGGACGUCAUGUCGCGGCUGUACAGAAUAUUGGUGAGGCCACUUUUAGAAUACCAUGCAUAAUUCUGGUCGCCCUUCCACAGGAGAGAUGUUGUUAAACCUGAAAGGGUGCAGAAAUGACUUACUAGAAUGUCGCCGGGACUGGAGGACUUGAGUUCUAGGGAGAGGCUGAAGAUGCUGAGGAUAUUUUCCCCUGGAGUGUCAGAGGCUGACGGGUGACCUUACAGAGGUUUGUAAAAUCAUGAGGGAAAAGGUAACUUGUCUAACUUGCUCGUUACCACCUCAAAGAAUCGUAACACAUUUGUCAGCCAUAACUUCCCCUUGUCGAAGAUGUGCUGACAGUCCUGCUUUACCUUGCAGUUCCACAUACUUUGCAAUCUCAUCUUUUAAAAUCUUACCAAUUUCAAACCAGCCUACAGGUUCCUGCUUCUGCCUCUUUCCCUCCAUAAACAGGGGUGUUACAUUAGCCAUCCUCCAGUCCUUUGGGAUCCUCUCUGAACUCCAGUGCUUCCUGAAAGAUCACCACCAAUGCCUCCACAGUAUCCUCAGCCAUCUCCUUCAGAACCCUGGCUGUAGUCCAUCAGGUUUGGGUGAUUUGUCCAACUUCAGAACUUUCAGCUUUCCCAGCACCUUGUCCAUAGUAAUGCCCAAUACAGCCACCUUUGCCCCCUGACACUCUUGAAGUUCUGGUAUGCUACUGAUGUGUUCCCCUGGGAAAACUGAUGCAAAAUACUUCUUCAGUUCCUCCGCCAUUUAGAGUCAUACAGCACAGAAACAGACCCUCUGGUCUAGCUCAUUCAUGCUGACCAGACAUCCUAAUCUGACCUAGUCCCAUUUGCCAGCAAUUGGCACAUAUCCCUCUGCACCUUUCCUAUUCAUGUACCCAUUCAGAUGUCUUUUAAAAGUUGUAACAGUCCCAGCCUCCUGCACUUCCUGUGGCAGCUUGUUCCAUACACGCACCACCCUCUGCAUGAAAAAGUUACCUUCUUAAAACUUGCCUCUCUUACCGUAAACCUACGGCCCCUAGUUUUGGACGCCCCUACCCUGGGAAAAAAACUUUGGCUGUUCACCCCAUCCAUGGCCCCCGUGAUUUUAUAAACCCCCCUCCGUCUCUGACACUCCAGGGAAAAUAGCCUUUUCAGCCCCUUCCUAUAGCUCAAGCCGUCCAACCCCGGCAACAUCUUGUAAAUUUUUUUCCCGAACUUCAUGUUUGGCAAUGCUUUUCCCGUAGCAGGAAGGGCAGAACUGAACACAGUAUUCCAAAUGUGACCGAACCAAUGUCCUGUACAACCACAACAUAACCUCGCAAGUCCUAUACUCAUUGUGCUGACCGAUGAAGGCAAGUGUAUAGAUGCUGCCUUCACUAACCAGUGUACCUGUGACUCCACUUUCAAGGAACUUUGAACCUGCACUGCAAAGUUCACUUGUUCAGCAGCACUCCUCAGGACCUUACCAUUAAGUAUGUAAGUCCGGCCCUGAUUUGCUUUACCAAAAUACAGCGCAUCACGUUUCUCUAAAUUAAGCUCUGUCUUCCACUCCUCAGUCCGAGCUGAUCAAGGUCUGAUUGUACUCUGAGGUAACCUUCUUUGCUGUCCGCUGCACCACCAAUUUUGGUGUUACCUGCAAACUUACUAACCAGACCUCCUGUAUUCAUGUCCAAACUUGUGAAAACUGAGGGAGUGACUGGGACAGAUAAGAUCCUUUUAAGGCCAGGGUGCACCAUCUUGACAUGGGCGUUGUCAAUAAGGAGUUGGGGUGGGGGGAAUGAAACAGAAGUGGUACCUUGCGGGUAGUGCAGCCAAGGGAUGGAGUUUCAAGUCUCUGUGAAAGGAUUGCCAGUUAUCUCAGUAAUACCGAUGUGCCCCACAGCUUGACCUGCUUCCUAACUGGCCGGCAAAAAGGGGUUUACCUGUUGAACAGUUAAAUGCAGAUGAUGCAGGGUGUGCCUGGUCUUACUGAUGGCUGUGCAACUGAUGGUGAUGGCAAGCGUCAUGGGAAAGCUGCUACGUUUAACCUGAAGACGCAGACAAUAACGGGGAAGGAAAGAGCAGUUGGCUUAGGUCAUAUGGCAGAAUGAGCAAGUGUAAUCCUUGCCCAAGAAGCUGAACCGGGAACGAUGUGUGUUUUCACCAGUUCUCAGGCUGUUGACAGUGAUGUGAUGGUUUUGAUGACACAGUUGGAUGAAAGGGAAAGCCCUCGGAGCAACAAUUCUGGGAGGAAAUCUAGCAAGAAGGGCAAUGAAACUGUUAACACUGUGUACCAUGUCGACGACUACACCAAAGAAGAAUCUAUGAAACAGCUGUGCACAAUAGAUCAGUUGAUAGCCUUACAAAGAUACUCACUGUGUGGCUAACUGCAGAAGAAGAGCUCAAACAAUUUGCCAUGUGGAAAUUUGAGUACCAGGUACCAAACAAUGGGCUGUAGAGUGAGAGAUCCCACUGAUGCAUGACAUUGCCCAUAAAAUAGUGGAGCAACACAAAACUUGCUGAAAGCUGAAACAGUUUCCCUUGCAGACUGAGCCCUUAGUAUCCACUCGCACAGGCAUUGGACAGAUCUUGCAAUGAGACAAUAUUGGACCGCUGUCCUCGCAACAGCGCUAUCAAUAGAUUUUGAUCAUGGCGAAUGCCGAAUUGGUAACCUGGCAAUCAAAUAACCUUGUGUGAAAGCAAGGGUUGCAUGCCCUGAUCUUCUGAUACAGGGAACCGGUGGAAAUACAAACUGAUGAUGGGUCAUAUUUUGCAGGGCAAGCAGUACAGCAUUGGGCACUUGAUAAUGGGAUCCGAAGGGUAUACACAGCAAGGUUAGUGGAACGUAUGAAUGGAGUUGUUAAGCAACACAUCGAACCGUUGACACCUGCACAGACCCUCAGGGUGGUUGCAAGUCUUGUUCCAGGUAGAAUACGAUUGAGACAAUUGAGCUCAAAUUGGGGUAACCCCCCCGCCCCAAAAAAAAAGCAAAAUGAUAAGUGAUGGCCAGAUAACCACAAGUGAAAACAGAAUUGUCUGUCUGUAAUAGAGGUAAGGUAUGGAUCUGCUACCCCUGAUCAGGUGGUUGUACCUGGGAAUGUGUUAUCCCACGGGACAGGGAGACAUGUAUUGGAUGUUAUCAUAGGGUAAAGAUAUCCCAGUGUGUCCAAUUGGGGAGAAAAAAAGUCAAAGGAGACAAAUGUGAUUAUGAUACAAUGCAUCAGGUAUUAAACUAACAACAAAAAAAGUAUUUUUGUUGCAGAGAACUGAUGAUGUGGUGACUGCUGCAGUACCUGUGUUUCCUUCCUCCUGCCUUGUUUGCCAUGAGAUCUGCCGUCACCUGCACUAUCUCACCACAGGAUACGAUCCAGAGGAUGGAGUCAGAUGGAGGAUGAGUAAGCGCACACGAUCUCCCUAAAAUCUCUCAAUACUGAAUGUUGGUCCAGGAUGGGUGCAAUGGAUGGAUGAGCAAUGGGUGCAUGAGUGGUCGAAGGCAUAUUCAGCGGACAUAGAGGUUGGGUCUGGUUAGUGAUGCUGGUGGGAGGUGUUCAUUCUGAAGAAGUGCCACCCGAAAUAGUGACCAUUCAUCUUCUCAUUUUCUCAUGGUGAGUGAUCUGUUUGGUUUUCCAUUUCAGUCUGUCUGGGGCAAUCUCGGAGUUCAGGUUAUGUUUCAGUUUAUGUGACCCACACCAGCUUGGUCCAUGCUGGAAUGUCUUGUCUGGUUUUGGGGGCUGCAUUCAGGGAGGACGUGAAGCAUUAGAGAGGGUCAUCGAGUGAUGCAGCUUGGAAGGAGACCCUUUGGGUCGUCUGAGUCAAUCAUCAAGUACCUAUCUACUUCAAUCGCAUAUCCCAGCACUUGAUCCAUGGCAUUCAUCAAAAUAUUUCUUACAUGUUGUGAUUGUUCCUGCCCCUGCACUGUGAGUUCCAUGUACCUACCACCCUCUGGCUGAAACAACACAACUUCUUCCCAAAUGCCCACUAAUACUACUGCCCUGUAUCUUAAAUCUGUGUACGUUUAUUAUCGAUCCUGUUAGCAAAAGGGGAAAAGUUCCUUCUUACCAUCCUUAUGUCUGCCCCUCAUAAUUUUAUAGACUUCAAUCAGAUCCACCUCAACCUCCGCUUCUUCGAAGAAGACAUCAUAGUCUAUCCAGCCUCUGUACGGAGUUAAACUGCUCUAUCCUAGGAACAUCCCAGUGAGUCUCCUCUACACCCUCUCUAGUGCAGUCACAGCCUUCCACUGGUGCACUGACCAGAACUGCGCACUCUACUCCACUGUGCCCUGAACAGUGUUAUACACAGUUCCAUCAUACAGACUGCCCAGAUUUGUUUUUCUUUAACCUUUCACAAGAUGUGGGCGACACCAGCGAGGCUGGCAUUUGGUGCCGCCCAUCACCAAAAGGGACACCCACAAGGUGGGAGUUCCAGGCUUUCACCCAGUGACAGUGAAGGAACAGUCGAAACAGUUUCAAGUCAGGAUGGCAUGUGAUGAUGGUGAUGUUUGGGUUGAGCUUUUUGCCUGAAAAUGUUUCCCCCAAUGUCCAGUAAAAGAUAUUUGCAGCAGAAAUUUGCUGUCAGUUUGGGACAGAAAUUCAGUAGAGUUUGCUGCACAUAAAUCCUUCCCUUCUCAGCCUCUACAGUGGUGUUUCCAACAUCCAUUACUGUCAGUCUAGGAUAGAAAUUUGAAAAGCCAAACACACUUGGUUUGAGUUUGGUCUGUUAAUUCCCCUGUUCUCCCAUUGUAUGUAUUUCUUGUAUAUAUACAUGUAAUAUAUAGGUUGAGUCAGUGGGCAAAAACGUGGCAAAUGCAAUUUGAUAUAGCAAAGUCAUGUUCAUUGGCAGGAAGAAUCAAGAAGCAGGCCAUCAUUUAAAUAGAGACUCUAAAAAAAGCAACACAGAUGUGUCUUGUGCAUGAAACACACACCAAAUUAUCAUGCAAACACAGUAAGUAAUUGAGAAGGCAAAUAAAAUUUACGUCUUUAUCACUAGUUGAUGUGAGUUUAAAAGUAGGGAAGUUUUGCUUCAAAUGUACAAGGUGUUGGUGAGACUGCACUCCCAGUACUGUGUACAGUUUUCAAGAAGUGACAUAUUAGCAUUGGAAACAGUUUGAAAGAGAUUUGCUGGGCUGAAUCCUAGGAUGAAGGGGCUAACUUAUUUAGAAUGGCUAAUCAGGUUCAGCCUCAGUUCUGAAGAAUCCUACCAGACUCAAAAUGUUAACUCUUUGUACCUCUUUAGAUGCUUCCAGACUUGUUGAGUUUCUCUUGCAUCUUCUGUGUUUGUUCUAGGCUGUUAUUAAUUAGUGUUUAGAACAAUGGGGUGACCAUUGAGAUGAUCCCAGUGAUGGGGAUCUCUCAAAUAAAGGGAUUGUCAUUUAAAACUGAGAAGGGAAGGAGAUUUUCCUCUGAGGAUAGUGAAGUCUGGAAUUCUGCACCCCAGAAAAUUGGGGAGGCCAUAUUGCACAAAGUAAUUAAAGAUGUGUAUUGAGUUUUGAAUUGUUAGGGUAAUGACAGCUUUGAGGGGCUGGCAGAAAAGGGAGUGGAGGCCUAGGUGGAUGAAUCAUGAUAUUUUAAAAUAGCUGGAGGGGCUUGAAGGGUUGAAAUGGCCUGUGCUGCCUCCUAUUUCUUAUGAUUAUUCCAACGCACUGUCAAAGGAGUUUCAAAACUUCCUCCCUGUCAGUCAGGAUAGAAAUUCAAAAAGCGAAAUAUUUUUCAUGGUUGAAAGUUGCUGUGUAUAAAUUCUUCCCUUCUAAACAAAAAAAUGGCCCAAAGACCUGUGGAUGGUGGAAAUCAGAAACUUCAGCAGGUCUGGCAGCAUCUGUGGAAAGAAAGGAGAGAUAAUGUUUUGGGUCCAGUGACCCUUUUUCAGAACUGAUUGUAGCUGGGAAGCGGUUGGUACAUGUGCUAAAGAGGUGGCUGGACCAAUAAAUGAUAAGUGGAGAUUUAGCCCAGAGAGAGAAUAAAACACAGCCUGUCCCACCGGCAUCCGCAUCCAAAGGAUCAUUAGCUGCCACUUCUGCCACCACAACAUGUAUUCCACUCCCCUCCCUUGUCAGCCUUCUACAGGGAUUGUUCCCUUUGGGACACCCUGUUCCAUUCCUUCAUCUCAAUGCCUCCCCAUGGCACCUUCCUUUGCAAUUGCAAAAGGUGUAAUGCCUGCCCAUUCACUUCCUACCCUCCCCUCCUCACUAUUCAAGGCCCAAGAAACACCUUUCAGUUGAAGCAGCAAUUUACCUGCACUUCACCAAUCUAGUCGACUGUAUUCGCUGCUCACAGUGUAGCUUCCUCCACAUUGCGGACAUAAAGUGCAGGCUAGGCGGCUCUUUGUAGAACACCUAAGCUCUGUUCAAGGAAGUGACCCUGAGCUUUCGGUUGCCUGCCAUUUCAACACAGAUCAGAUGAUGCUGUGUUCCCUGGCCAACAUCAUUGUUUGGGCUUGCUGUAGUGUUCCAGCAAAGCUCAGCAUGCGCUGGAAGAAGAAUACCUCAUUUCCACUUGUGAAACCUGCAGCCUUCUGGAUUCAGUACCAAGUUGAACAAUUUUAAGGCUUGAGCAUGUUCUCCCAUGUCCUUACCCCCAAACCCCACACACCAGGCCUUGUCAGCACAUGGGCUCUACCACAAACAGCCCGUCAGUUUGUAACAGUCCCCAUUAGCAGCUAUUCGUUCUGCCAGGCUGACCUUUACCCAUUCCUCUGUCUGCCCAGCUGAUCUUCUUGUCUCUCUCUGGGGUAUAUACAACAUCUCCAUCUAUUGGUUUACUCCUUGCCUCACUCCGUUUUUUUUCGCAUAUAUUCCAAACCUUUCCCGGCUCCAAUCAGUUCUGAAGAAGGGUCACUGAAAUUCUAAUUCUUAUUUUCUCUCCACAGAUGCUGCCAGACCUGCUGAGAUUUUCCAACACUGUUUUUGCUCUCCUUCAAUCGCGCAGUCAAAGCAGUUUCCAGAUUCAAGAGUUGGAGUUUCUAACUGGGGUCUUGAGGAGGAAUGUCUCUGUCUCAAGGUUCAGCCCAUUGCACCCACUCAGCCUUCGCGUUGUGCAUGUUUCGCGCCGCAGUCAUGUCCCGUCUCUUCAUUGAUACCGAUUGGUUGAAGCAGGCGUCCGAGCAACACUUCUUCCUCGUAUGGCACGGCUUUGCUCACCAAUCGACUGUGCGCUUGCGCUGGUCUUUUUACCAGCUGGGUCAAAGGAGGAGGAGGGUUUUGUCUCCAGUUUUAAACCAGAAUGACUUGGAGAGAUUUACCCAAUAUUCCUAUGAAGGAGGGUGGGAGAGACUGUAGGAUGGGGAUUCAUAAUUUUGAGGGCACAAAGAGAGGAAAAUAUUCCACAGAAACUGGAAUUGCCUAAUUAUGAUUUCUCUGCUUUCCUGACAGUGAACAGGUUUGCCAUCUCCUGCCACAAGGAUGAGCAGGAUGUAGAUCAGGAAAGCCAAACAAACCACCAGGUCGAGAUCUAACAGUCACUGCAUUCAACAGGAGCUGAACAUCACUGCCCUCCCAAUGUGCAAGGGGAAAUGUUUGUUUUCUCUGAGGAGAAAGAUUUCAAAUAUCAGUGUGAUUGGAAAAUCACCGAGACACAGGCACAUCCGAACGAGAGUUUUCCAAUGAACUAACCGCGGAAAGCGCUUUCACCAGUUACACAGACUCAAAAAACAUUGCACCAUUUACAGCAGGGUGUAAAGCCACGUACGUUUUUUUUUGUUUCCAGACAAGGAUUCAACCAAUCCUUCAAUCUGGAGAGAUGUAGCCACUGGUAUCCUGGUAAAAUCAUGGAAAUGUGUAGACGGUGGAAAGGGAUUCAGAUUUCCAUCCUAGACAGAAGUUCAUCAACACUGACACACUGAAGAGAGUCCACUAACCCGCUCCAAUUGUGAGAAGGGAUUUGCUCAUAUUUCCAGCUUAAAGGUACAUCAGAAAAUUCAAUGGGGAGAAACCAUUCACCUGUCUUGAGUGUUGAGUAGACCUUUGUGCAGUCAUGCAAGUUAAGAACAGUACAGGCCCGUCAGCCCAUGAUGUGCCAACCUCUCAUCCUACUCUAAGAUCAAACUAACCUGCAGACCCUUUAUUUUACUAUCGUCUAUGUGCCUAUCCAAGAGUCAUUUAAAUGUCCCGAAUGUAUCUGACUACUACCAUCGCUAACAGUGCAUUUCGUGCACCCACCAGUCUCUGUGUAAAGAAUCUACCUCUGAUAUCUGCCCCGUUCCUUCCUCCAAUCAUCUUAAAAUUAUGCCCCCCCGUGAUAGUCGUUUCCAUGGUGGGAAAUGUUUCUGGCUAUCCACUCUAUCUCUGCCUCUCAUCAUCUUGUACACCUCUAUCAAGUCACCUCUUAUCCUCCUUUGCUCCAAUGAGAGAAGCCCUAGCUCCCUCAACGUAUCCUUGUAAGACCUGCCCUCGAUUUUAGGAAGCAUUCUGGUAAAUCUUCUCUGCACCUUCUCUGAAGCUUCCACAUCCUUCCUGUAAUUAAAUUUGACCAGAAACUGAACUGGUCUAGCCAAGUAAAUAUCGUAGUUACAAAUGCAAGCCAGAGGCUGGGAAUUCUUUGGUUAUCAGCUUAUCUCCUGUCUCCAAAAGUCUGUCCACCCAUCUGCAAGACACACGGAGUGUAGCAGUAUACGCUCUGUUAACCUGGAUGGCAGCAGCACCAACCAUAUUCCACAAAGUCAGCUCCAUCCAGGACAAAGCAGUUGAUUGAUAUUUCAGUCUAUGUGUUUCAGUCAAGAUAUUCAUGUAAAGAAUAAGGCUUUAUUAAAAGGAUCAACAUGUUGGGUUCGGGGCAGCAGGCAGGAGAGUGGUACUCAGUGAGACACUCAGAGCUCGCACAUACAGGUUGGACCCAAAUUGCUACCUCCUGCACUGUAAUAAUUCUGCAAAUCUGAUUUCCAAUGAGCACCUUCGACAUUCACUCCACCACCGACAUGUACAGGCUGCACUAUGUACUAUUUACAAAAAGAACCGCUACAUUGACAAAGAAUUUGCCAGCACUUUGUAAAACCUUGACCUCUGCCAUCUGGAAGGACAUGGUGGCAUUUUCACAGAAACACCAGCAAAUGCAAACUCCCUGCAAGUGACCCAUCAUCCUGACUUGGAACUGUAUCAAUGGUUUUUGAUCAAAUCUUGUCUCAUUUGUGGACUGCUUCUGUGUUUGAGGAGUGGUGAAUAUUGUGCAAUCAUCGGGGAGCAAUAUGAUAAAGGGAAGGUCAUUGCUGAGUCAGCUAUAGUUGGUUGGACCAAGCACAAAACCCCUGAGGAAGUCCUGCAGUGAUUACCUCUGGCACCCAUAACAAUCUUCUUUUGUGUUAAGGGAUUGCUGUAACUAGUGAAGUGCUUUCACCCCAAUUCCCACUGACCUGAUGCUGCACUCAUUCAAAUGUAGCCUUGGGGUUAAAAGGCUGUUAUUCUCAUCUUGCCUGAGAAAUACAGCUCCUUUGUCCACAUUUGGCUACCAUAAGGUCAGGAACUUAGUAGGAACUGAACGCCCAGUGAGUAGGUUAUUGCUAAGUGCUUCUCAGGACUGUCAAUGUCACUUUCUAUCAGUUUGGUGAUGAUCAGGAUUAGACCAAUGAGGCAAAAACUGCCCGAGUAAGAUUUGUGCUGCUUUUUGUCAAGACAGGAAAUAGCUGCUGGGAAGUGACAGUACAGUGGUAUUGUUGCUGCAUCAAUUCACACUAACUAGCUUUUAAAAAGAGUGAGUCUUACCAUCCAGAGUUAAAGAUUCACCUAUAUGUUAAAAUAAUUCUUGGACAUUCAUUCUGGCCAGAAAAUGAAACUUCAAAGAUGAUGAUUAAAUCAGAAAGUCUGUGAAAUUAGCUAUUUAGCCAGUACUCUUUCCUCCUACGAAAGACAACACAAGUAGUCCGGUGUUUCAAGAAAUAGGUAAUAAGUAAUUUUAUAUUACUAUCAUUAAUUCUAAGUUUUUUUUAAAACAUAAAGCCCUUGAGAAACUAAUUCCAAGUACAUAUUAAGCCACGUUAAAGAAUCUCAAUUUUGGACAUUAUCAGGCAGAUGCCUGCGUUGUGGCUGUGCUGGAAGAGAUGACUAGGUGUUCAGCGAAGUCAAACCAAGAGAUUUUCCAUCCCAGACUGACAACGAUCAUUUCUACAGAACUAAGCUUGCUGGUGUUACAGACGGAUCACAAGUUUUAAAACUAACCUUCCUCUGUAUUUCCACAACCUGGCCAGAAACAGAUUUUUUUAUCACCCCCCCCCCCCCCCCCCAAUUUGAAUAGCUGUGGAAUGUUUCCAUAUGCUUUUUGCUUGACUUUGUAAGAACAGCACCAGAACUACAGGAGAAGUAAGGUUUAUUUCACACUAUUUGGAUGUGGGGGUGGGAGAGAUGAUUUGGAAAUAGAGACACACUCACAAAACAUGCAAGGAGAGAUACAAAUAAUAAUAAUAAUAAUAAUAAAAACAGUUAGCAAUAGCCUAAAAAUUCUAAAACAAUGUACGGAUACCAAUUUAUCAGGGGUGGAAGCAUUUUGCUGAAAUGUCAAUUCUACUUUGCUGUAUUGAUAAAAGUAACUUGAAAACAAGCAGAGAACAUAAAAACAGGACCAGGCUACAAAGUGAGGCUAGGGGUUUGGAUACUGUCAGUAGAUGUUGUCUGAAGUAACAUUGACCCUGUGAUUGACAUAUGUUUCAAAAUAACUGAGCUGCAAACUCCUUGGUCAGCAUUAAACAGUUACCAUCAAGAUAGAGGCUUGCGUUGCAGAUUUUGGGGGCAGGGAGAGAAAAAGCUGCCGAUGGCUCAUCUCAGAGAUUAUGUGAGGAAAUUACAUUGUUUUACAGGAUAGUGGUAACUUACACUCAUUUGACUCCUAUCUCCAUUGCAGUUUUUAGCAUAAUAUUUUAAUACCUCCGUCCCAUCAGGAAGUACAUGAGCUUUUGAUUCUGCAGCCCACUUCGACUAAUAAAGAAGUGUCCAAGAGGCUACUGCUUCGUCCAAUCAUACGGUUGUGGCAUUUAUCUUUAUUAGGUUGUAUUUUAAAAUUAGUCACCGAAUCAUUAUAGAUGUGUGCGAAAGUUGGUUUCAAACCAAUUCAUGACAAAAGAAUAAUAGGAAAGGUAACUGUCAAUGUUGAAACUUUAAGGAACUGGACGAUAAGCCUUCCAUCAGCUUGAAAAGAAAACACCCAUUAACCACUCCUCUCUGUUUACUGCCUCGCAGUCAAUUCUGUAUCCAUAUCGUUACUGUGUUUUAUUCCAGGAUCUCUCCUCAAGUCUGUUGUUUAGCACUGUAUCAAAAGCCUUUUGGAAUUCCACAGGCAGUACAAAACAGAGUGUGUCUGAUCAAUCCUCUUAUUUCCUCAAAAAGAAAUCGCUAGCAAGUUGGUUAAACAAAACCUUUGCCUCAUAAAUUCGUGCUAGCUCUCCCUACUCUAACAAAAAAUUGUCUUUGUGAUAACCAAUAAAUUCGUGCUAGCUCUUCCUACUCUAACAAAAAAAAUUGUCUUUGUGAUAACCAAUUUUGUCCCAAACUAAUUUUUCUAGAGGAUUCUGAACAACCCAAACUAAACUGGGUGGGCUGCAGGUCAUAGACUUAUCUUGACCCCAAUUUUGUUUUGACGAACGGCACAAAUGUUUGCAAUUUCCCAGUCUUCUGACAUUUUGCAAACAAAAUUGAAAAAUUCUGACAACCAACUGCAUGAUUUUCACUCUCAUUUGCCAGUGAUUGUAUCUUAAUGGUUUCAACGCCUUCUUUAAAGUCAAAUAGUGAUCUGUCUCCUUAUUAAUUAUAAAUUCUUCCAGGGUCUGAUUUAACAACGAAACGUGAUCGCUGCAUUCACUGGUGAACAUGCUGGUGCCUCCGUAGGUGGGAUGACUGAGUAAAUCCCUUCCCGCAGUCAGAGCAGGUGAAUGGUCUCUCCCCACUGUGAAGUCUCUGGUGUACAAUGAGUUGAGAGGAGUGCUUGAACCCAGUCCCGCAGUGAGAGCACAUGAACGGGGUCUCCUCACUGUGAACCCGCUGGUGGGUCAGCAGGGUGGACGAGGACGUGAAGCCCUUCCCGCACUCGGAGCAGGUGAAUGGCCUCUCCCCGGUGUGAACCCGCUGGUGCGCCAGAAGAACAGACGAAGCAGUGAAGCCUUUCCCGCACUCGGAGCAGGAGAACGGCCUCUCCCCGGUGUGGACCCGCUGGUGGGUCAGCAGGUUGGACGACUGAGCGAAGCCCUUCCCGCACUCGGAGCAGGUGAACGGUCUCUCGCCGGUGUGAACCCGCCGGUGUACACUGAGGUCAGACGAGCGCCUGAACCCAGUCCCGCAGCGAGGGCAACCGAAUGGCUUCUCCUCGGUGUGAACCCGUUGAUGGCAUGCCAGUUCAUCGUAGCUUUUGUGGCACUUCCCACACUCGGAGCACUUAAACGGUCUCUCCUCAGUGUGAACCCGUUGGUGUCUCAGCAGGUUGGACGAUUGUGUGAAGCCCUUCCCACACGCAGAGCAGGUGAACGGCCUCUCCCCUGUGUGACUGCGUCGAUGGGUUUCAACCUUGGAUGGAGAAAUGAAUCCUUUCCCACAGACGGCACAUUUCCAUGGUUUCUGCCUGUUCUGACUGCAUUUAUGCUCCGGGAGGUCAGAUGAUCUGGCGAAGCCUCGUCCACACACAGAACACGCGUACGGUUUCUCGGCACCGGGAACGGUGCUUGUUUCUUCCAUGUUCCAAUCCGGGUGAGGCCUCGCUUAUAAUAAACUGGCUGGAUCCAACAGAA